rnacentral:rRNA from 1 species
GAGUUUGAUCCUGGCUCAGAUUGAACGCUGGCGGCAUGCCUUACACAUGCAAGUCGAGCGGCAGCGCGGGGGCAACCCUGGCGGCGAGCGGCGAACGGGUGAGUAAUGCAUCGGAACGUGUCCUCUUGUGGGGGAUAACCAGUCGAAAGACUGGCUAAUACCGCAUGAGAUCGAGAGAUGAAAGCAGGGGACCGCAAGGCCUUGCGCGAGAGGAGCGGCCGAUGCCGGAUUAGCUAGUUGGUGGGGUAAAAGCCUACCAAGGCGACGAUCCGUAGCUGGUCUGAGAGGACGACCAGCCACACUGGGACUGAGACACGGCCCAGACUCCUACGGGAGGCAGCAGUGGGGAAUAUUGGACAAUGGGCGAAAGCCUGAUCCAGCAAUGCCGCGUGAGUGAUGAAGGCCCUAGGGUUGUAAAGCUCUUUUACCCGGGAUGAUAAUGACAGUACCGGGAGAAU